rnacentral:rRNA from 1 species
GAUGAACGCUGGCGGCGUGCCUAAUACAUGCAAGUCGAGCGAACGGACGAGAAGCUUGCUUCUCUGAUGUUAGCGGCGGACGGGUGAGUAACACGUGGAUAACCUACCUAUAAGACUGGGAUAACUUCGGGAAACCGUAGCUAAUACCGGAUAAUAUUUUGAACCGCAUGGUUCAAAAGUGAAAGACGGUCUUGCUGUCACUUAUAGAUGGAUCCGCGCUGCAUUAGCUAGUUGGUAAGGUAACGGCUUACCAAGGCAACGAUGCAUAGCCGACCUGAGGGGGUGAUCGGCCACACUGGAACUGAGACGCGGUCCAGACUCCUACGGGAGGCAGCAGUAGGGAAUCUUCCGCAAUGGGCGAAAGCCUGACGGAGCAACGCCGCGUGAGUGAUGAAGGUCUUCGGAUCGUAAAACUCUGUUAUUAGGGAAGAACAUAUGUGUAAGUAACUGUGCACAUCUUGACGGUACCUAAUCAGAAAGCCACGGCUAACUACGUG